ensembl:lncRNA
AUGAUAAUAAAAGAGCAAGAAUAUAAGGAGAAAAAAGAAAGGAGAACAAGAAAAAUAGUAAAAGGAAAAAGAAGAAAAAUAGGAGGAAGAAGAGGAGAGCAAGAAGGAAGGAAGGAAGGAAGGAAGGAAGGAAGGAAGGAAGGAAGGAAGGAAGGAAGGAAGGAAGGAAGGAAGGAAGGAAGGAAGGAAGGAAGGAAGGAAGGAAGGAAGGAAAGGAAGGAAAGGAAGGAAGAAGAAAGGGAAGAAGGGAGGAAGGAAGGGAAGAAAGGAAGAAGGAAGGGAAGAAAGGAAGAAGGGAGGAAGAGAGAAAAAGAAUUAUUCACUCUGCCUCAGGGGACCAGUUACUUUCAAGUUGUUUAAGAAUCAAUUGCAUGUUAAAGGUGCCAUUGACUUUUGUCAUUUUACACCAGCAAUUAUGCCAAGAAAUCAGGUAGUGAAGGCAAAAAUAUCCUCUCCAUUGACCUGGCUUUAACUGAUAACUUUAAAGUCAAAGAAGCUAUCUGCUGAGAGAAGGGAGAGGGGAUCCAUUACAAGCUUAUGAUGUCACCUAACAAUUGCAGAGGUGUUUCAUUUUAAGUACCAGGGCAACUAUUUCAUCUCAAUUUCCCACAAACUAGAGAGAGAAAGAAUAAUUCUCCCCAUUUGAUCCAGGAGGAAAAUCAGGGUGUAGAAAAGUUAAGGGAUGUGCCCACUGUCACUAGGAAGGUGCAGGGCAGAUCUGACAUUUUGCCUGGUGUACUUUUCUCCCUUCACCACAAUGAUGCAGCAUGGAGAACAUUAGAGUCUGAUGAUCUGGGACCAAAUCCUGGCUCUCCCACUUUAAAAGCUGUCUGACCUGAGACAAGUCACAUCUUCUCAAUUUUCUACUCUGUAAAAUGAGGAUGUUGGAUUGGAUGACCUGUGAGGUCCUCCAAGUUCUAAAUCUCCAAUCCGAUGACCCAUACUGUUACUCUUCUCCCUGGAGAAUGUCUGGGUCCUGAUGAUCAAAAGGCUAUUUCUGAUUCGGUACACAGUGGAAAUUGGACUCUGUUCUGUUUUAUCCAGAAUAAUUCAUCCCGGCUCACUUGGAGGAGUAAGUAAGAAGUUCACCAAAUAGUAUAAACAUCGAAUACUCAGAAACUUAGGGCAAAGCAGAGUGAACAUGAGAAAAAGGUCAUGUUUCACAUGACUUUAAUACAAAUCCAAUAGCCUCAGAGGUUAUGAUCUGAUCCCAGGCUUACAAUAACAUACUGACCUAUGGAAAUCAUUAGAUUUGUCUUUUCAUAAGAUAGUAAUCAAUGAAUUCACUCUGCUCUCUAUAAGUUUCCCAUGAUCUCUGCUGGCCAAAACGAAUCAAAGGGGAAAAGAAGCCAGGGGAAAAGAAAGGGAGAACAAUUGAAAAGAAGAACUCAGAAAACACAGGGGGGGGAAAGGAGGGUGUUGAAAUGCCCCAGCAGAGAGGGCUGUGACCAUUGGUCUGAGGGUGGGCUCUGCAAGGUCCUGGGGAGCUGACCCAUGAGGACACACUAGAGAACUUCAUGAGAAUCAAUUAGCCACUUCUCUUGGAAAUGGAGCCUAUGCUUUUGCCAAGACUUGAAACAAUUUACCACCUUGGGCAAAGCAUCAGAACAUGCUGGGAAUGCAUGGUGGUGGAGAGCUGGGGUGUCACUUAUCCAGGGGAAUUACUCAUAGCAGCUAAAUGGAUGCCCCCCACUUCACUUUUGAAAUCUAAGUGGAAAAGGGAGUUCUGAUUGUUCCUGAGGUAUAGAUCCCUUUAAAGGCUUGGAUGCUUCUUCUGGCCACACCCAAUACCAAAUGGUUCAACAUUUAAAAAUAAAUCAACCAUUGGAUUUCA